rfam:Bacillus halodurans C-125 DNA, complete genome.
UAACCUUGGUAUGAGAGUGCCAGUUGAACGGUCAGAAGUCAGCAGAAGCCAUAGUAACCGCUUGAUCUAGACAAGAGGGGGAGGGC